rnacentral:rRNA from 1 species
GUGGGGAAUAUUGGACAAUGGGCGCAAGCCUGAUCCAGCCAUACCGCGUGGGUGAAGAAGGCCUUCGGGUUGUAAAGCCCUUUUGUUGGGAAAGAAAUCCUGUCGGUUAAUAACCGGUGGGGAUGACGGUACCCAAAGAAUAAGCACCGACUAACUUCGUGCCAGCAGCCGCGGUAAUACGAAGGGUGCAAGCGUUACUCGGAAUUACUGGGCGUAAAGCGUGCGUAGGUGGUGGUUUAAGUCUGCUGUGAAAGCCCUGGGCUCAACCUGGGAAUUGCAGUGGAUACUGGAUCACUAGAGUGUGGUAGAGGGAUGCGGAAUUUCUGGUGUAGCAGUGAAAUGCGUAGAGAUCAGAAGGAACAUCCGUGGCGAAGGCGGCAUCCUGGGCCAACACUGACACUGAGGCACGAAAGCGUGGGGAGCAAACAGGAUUAGAUACCCCGGUAGUCC